rnacentral:rRNA from 1 species
CUGGGCUAGAAAACACGAGAAUCCGGGCGAAAGUUCGGAGUGCCUUUCGGGGAACUCGUGGUUAGGUGCUGCAUGGCUGUCGUCAGCUCGUGUCGUGAGAUGUUGGGUUAAGUCCCGCAACGAGCGCAACCCUCGGCCUUAGUUGCCAUCAUUUAGUUGGGCACUCUAAGGAGACUGCCGGUGACAAACCGGAGGAAGGUGGGGAUGACGUCAAGUCACCAUGGCCCUUACGGCCUGGGCUACAAACGUGCUACAAUGGUCGGUACAAAGGGUUGCGAACCCGCGAGGGGGAGCCAAUCCCAAAAAGCCGACCUCAGUACGGAUAGGAGUCUGCAACUCGACUCCUUGAAGUCGGAAUCGCUAGUAAUCGCUGAUAAUCUCUAGAGGUCCCC